rnacentral:rRNA from 1 species
UACGGGGGGGGCAAGCGUUGUUCGGAAUUACUGGGCGUAAAGCGUGCGCAGGCGGUUCGCUGUGUCCGAUGUGAAAGCCCCGGGCUUAACCUGGGAAUGGCAUUGGAAACUGGCGGGCUUGAGUGCGGCAGAGGGGGGUGGAAUUCCGCGUGUAGCAGUGAAAUGCGUAGAGAUGCGGAGGAACACCGAUGGCGAAGGCAGCCCCCUGGGUCGACACUGACGCUCAGGCACGAAAGCGUGGGGAGCAAACAGG